rnacentral:rRNA from 1 species
UACGGAGGAUCCGAGCGUUAUCCGGAUUUAUUGGGUUUAAAGGGUGCUCAGGCGGGGGAUUAAGUCGGCGGUGAAAGGCAGCGGCUAAACCGUUGGAAUGCCGUUGAGACUGGGCGCCUUGGAUUCGGUCGGGGCCGGCGGAAUGCGUGGUGUAGCGGUGAAAUGCUUAGAUAUUAUACAGAACGCCGAUAGCGAAGGCAGCUUACUAAACCAUAACUGACGCUCAAGCACGAAGGCGUGGGGAGCAAACAGG